GUGGCUGGCGAAGCGAGCGGCUGGCGCGGGCCCCUGGCGGGCGGGCGGUACAGCCCCAAGCCUGAGACCCGGACCUGAGCAUCGCAGGUUCGAGUCCCGCCCCGCCUGGGGCGAAGCCGGGGGUGGCGGCGACCUCGCCGCGUUGCACCGGCUCUCUGAGCACCUCCCCUCUGAGGACUUCCCUUGUGACAGGCCCAGGACAAGGUGGCCAGGCAGCCCCCAUGACGCCCCUGGUCUAGGCGGAGAACCGCCUGGGCGAUGAGUGAGAACCUCGACAACGAGGGCCCGAAGCCCAUGGAGAGCUGUGGCCAGGAGAGCAGCAGUACCCUGAGCUGCCCUACAGUCUCGGUGCCCCCUGCAGCCCCCUCAGCCCUGGAGGAGGUGGAGAAAGAGGGCGCUGGGGCGGCUACAGGGCCGGGGCCUCAGCCCGGGCUCUACAGCUACAUCAGGGAUGACUUGUUUACCUCUGAGAUCUUCAAACUGGAGCUGCAGAACGUGCCUCGCCACGCCAGCUUCAGCGACGUCCGGCGCUUCCUGGGCCGCUUUGGUCUGCAGCCCCACAAAACCAAACUCUUUGGGCAACCACCCUGCGCCUUUGUGACAUUCCGCAGCGCUGCAGAGAGGGACAAGGCCCUGCGCGUUUUGCAUGGUGCCCUCUGGAAAGGCCGCCCACUCAGUGUGCGCCUGGCCCGGCCCAAGGCGGACCCCAUGGCCAGGAGGAGGCGACAGGAGGGUGAGAGUGAGCCACCAGUAACACGAGUGGCCGACGUGGUGACCCCUUUAUGGACAGUGCCCUAUGCUGAGCAGCUUGAGCGGAAGCAGCUGGAGUGCGAGCAGGGAAAUCGGGAGCACCAACCGUGCCUUGCUGCCCUGGCUGCUUGAGCAGAGGCACAAGCACAACAAGGCCUGCUGCCCACUGGAGGGGGUCAGGCCAUCACCCCAGCAGGUCAGGCUAGACUUCGGUGGCCACAAACCCCUAUCCCGGGUUUUGAAAAACUUUGCUUUUGCUCACCCUUUCUGUUGAUCUCCCUGCUUUGUGUU
rnacentral:sRNA from 1 species